CGCGGGGGAGCACGGGGCGGGGCCUCUCCGCGAGCAGCGGAACCGGCGGGGGUUGGGGCAGAAGGGGGCUGCUCCGCGCCCUCCGGAAGGCUCGGGGGAUCCGUGCGUGCGUCCUUAGCGCUGCGAGGAGUGCGGUCACCUGAGGGCAGCUUCCUGAGGCGGGAGGGGAGCCGCUUGGGUGCUGCGCUAACUUGAAAGCAGUUAGGCAGCACGUGGAGGUGUUGUGAGGUGUCCGGGCAGCCCCAGCAGUGUCCUAUCCCGCCGCCCUGCUGCGGGAGAGCGGCGCGGUGCCGCGAUGAGCGUUUAACUGCAGGGAGGGGAGCUGGAGGGAGUGAGCUCCCCAGAUGGAAACGCAGAAACCGGCUGUUAACGUAAUUGAUUGUGUAAUUGUAAAAUGCAAAAAGACAGGUAUUCGUAAACGGUACGCAAAAGAGGCAAGUGCCUUGGGCGAGUGUGAACUGAUCUAACUGAACGCUGGAGUCAAAGGGUAUGGACUGUUUGCAUCCCAUAGAAAUGCCGUACAUCAGUAGAACAGCUGAUUUGAUUUUGGAUUGUUGACUACUGCUUUGCGUAAAGUGAUCCGGACUGAUUUUCAUCCGCUGCUCGCCUAGUGCAUACCUCCCAUAUUGGACUGCAGGGGAGUUUACUGGGUAUUGUGUGAGAAGCCUUGCUGAAACCAAGGCGUGCUGCUCUGACUGCAGCAUCUGCAGAGCCGACCAUUGCAGAGUCACAGCAUAUCCCGAGUAGGAAGGGACCCGCAAGGGUCACCGAGUCCAACUCCCCGCUCCACACGGGACCACCCAAAUUCAAACCCUUUGUGUGAGAGCACUGUCCAAACGCUCCUUGAACUCCAGCAGCCUGAGGCCAUAACCACCGCCCUGGGGAGGUUGUUCCAUGCCCACAGCCCUCUGAAGAACCUUUUCCUCACACCCACCCUUGCCCUAAUAACCAGUCUGAAUCAUAAAAGGCAAACAUCUGUGCUGUUUUCUCCAAGUCAGCUUCUUGUCCUUUACUGGCCUGGAAAUGGCUUCCAGAAAGAUCUCCUUCAUGAUCCACUCAGAGAGAGGUGCUGUGUAAGGCCGACUGUCCUGCAGUUCCCUGGACCUUGCUUUGAUGACAGAUGUGACAUUUGCUUUUUUUUCCAUUAACUGGAAAUCUCAUUGCCACGGCUUUUCAAAGAUGAUAAGAUCUGCUAAAUUACCUUAGCCAGCUUUGUCAGCACCUCCACGUGCGCCUCCUGUCCAGUCCUAGGGACUUGUAUACAUCUAAUUUGCUGAGCUGGCCCGAUUUCAGCCUUCCUCUACAGCUUGUAGUCUCUUCCUCCAAACUUUGCUGCUAGGUCUCUGUGAGACCUGAGGGCUGAUCUUGAUCGGAAAUACCAAGGGAAAGAUCUCAAAGCCUCUCAGGGCGCCGACUGUCUCAGCCUUUUCCCUUAAGUCACCCUCUCCAUUCAGCAGCAGACCCUUGGUUCUCAGGAUUACCAUGCUUGUAAUUAAAACAAUUCAAGAGUGUUUUGUCUGCCUUUGGAUGUAACUGAAAGGCUGAAGCUGGUGCAAAUGGAGAAUGAAUGGAAAUGUCUGGGUGUUGACCUACCUGACUGAGCAUGCAGCAAUAAAAGGGUCUGUGCUAAUGGCAUCCAAAUUCACAGAUCAUCAAGACCAGCACAUCUGUGUGGAGUUUUGCAAGACACCCAGAUCAGAAGAAAAGGAGUAAUGAACAAAUCCUGAUGAAUCACAGAGACAUGAUGAAAGACGCUGAUCCCUAUCAGUUUCUAAAUGCCCAGAAGAGUCAUUUCCGUAAUCUCCACGUGGUCACCAACCCAAGCCACCUUCCUAUCAGACAGUAGUGAUACUUGGUACAUUGCUGGCACAGUGUCCCACAAGAGCCAUUCCGGAUGGAGUCUGCCUGUUCCAGCUGGAAGAGGUGUUCUGAGGAAUCAGCUGUAACCAACAGAAAUGCUGCAUUAAAACUAAUGUAAAUAUUUCGGAUAAGAACAAAGAAUAUAUUUGACUUUAUGUGGAGGCAAGAAGGAAGUGAUUGAAGAUUUACUUCAAAUGUGGUUCUAGUGGUUCUAGCAGCUGCUGACUGAAAGGUGCAACAGCCAACCACUCAUCCAGAGGACAGAACUUGAGUGAGAUUAUAUUCUCAAGAUCUAUGACUGGCAGAAAGUAAUAAAAACCCUAGUGAACUCGUAUAUCGUGUGUAAAUACAAUUCUAUUAUCUGAUGUUUGUAGUGAAUUGAAAUGGCUGCUCUGAGGUCACGGCAAUCAGAUUGUUUCCUGGAAUUUCUGAAGGCAAGCUGCACAUCCUGUAAACAGGAGCUCUUCCUAGAUCCAUCAGACCGCAAUGGCAUGCACAGCCAGGUACUGUGAGUGCUGUGUCACAUCAUAAAUAAGAUCGUUCCACAGAGGCAGAGACAGCUAGUCUCAAAUCACCCAGGAUGUUAAAGGAGAUGUAGAAACCACUGCUGA